rnacentral:rRNA from 1 species
UACGUAGGGUGCGAGCGUUAAUCGGAAUUACUGGGCGUAAAGCGUGCGCAGGCGGUUCGUUGUGUCGGCGGCGAAAGCCCCGGGCUUAACCUGGGAAUGGCCGUUGAAACUGGCGAACUGGAGUGUGGCAGAGGGGGGUGGAAUUCCGCGUGUAGCAGUGAAAUGCGUAGAUAUGCGGAGGAACACCGAUGGCGAAGGCAAUCCCCUGGGCCUGCACUGACGCUCAUGCACGAAAGCCAGGGGAGCGAACGGG